rnacentral:misc_RNA from 1 species
GAGAGAGAGAGAGAGAGAUGAGGAGGCCUCUCUUCUACAGCUUCUUGUAAACUUGGGUUCUGUCACUUGGUACUGGAAUGCUGGUUCAGUUCACUUAAACUUUGUUUUUAUUUGAACAUUUUAAAUUCUUAAACAUUGAACAAACCAUUGACAUGGAGUCAAAACAUGUUGCAAUAUGCAACAUUGAAGUCCUAUAUAGAAAAUUUUGGUUUGCUGGUGACAUAUCAAUGGCACACAUUUAUUUUUCAGAUCAGGUUGGAAUGUUUUUCUGUUCUGGUUAACAAGCAAUAACAUUCCAAACUUCAUCUUAGUUAUCAUUCUUACAAUUCUGAAUGGCUAUCUGGAUGACAUCAUUAAUUGUUCAAAUGACAAUUAUUUGCAAUUUGCAAUUGUGGUUGAAUGAAGUUGUUGAGAUGAGAGGACAACAUCAUCUGGGUGUAGGGAAUGAAAAUUUGAUUAGUGCAUUUGUCACUCAUGAAGCUAGCCUAGAACUAGAAGGAUUGUGUUCACAAUAAUUAUUGGCUAAUUAUCUCAUCCAAGGGCAUGAUAUUGCUUGGAAUAUCUUAUUCCCUGAUAUAACCAUAAUCAGUGAAAAUCCAAAUCUCCUUCCUUUGGCUUUCUUCCAGGGUCGUUUUGAGAUACUGUCUUUAUCUGGUUCGUUCAUGCCAACUGAAAGUGGAGGAACUAGGAGUCGAUCUGGUGGGAUGAGUGUGUCAUUGGCAAGUCCAGAUGGACGAGUUGUAGGUGGUGGAGUUGCAGGUCUGUUGGUAGCUGCAAGUCCUGUACAGGUUGUAGUAGGCAGUUUUCUGGCAGGGAACCAGCAUGAGCAGAAACCAAAGAAGCAGAAACCUGACUCCAUUUCAACUGUUGUCACACCAACUGUUGCCAUGCCAAUUUCUACUGCUGAUCCAAAACCCAAUUUGUCAUCUUCCUCAUUCCGUGGAGAUAGUUGGUCUCCUUUGCCAUCAGAUUCGAGGAAUAAGCCAACUGAUAUUAAUGUGUCUUUGCCAGCAGGUUAACCUGAUUCACCUUAUCGGUGCAUUAAUCGGUUGGUCACUGACGACAAGGCUAUCAAAUUCCACUCGUAGAAACUCACCUUCAUGUAUUGUCUGUAGAACCUAUUGAAAAUGUCAGUACUGGCACUUUUAUUUUACCCUCUUUGUUUUCGGGUAGAUUUUUAGUUAGCCACUUAGGUAGGCUCUUGCUGCUGUUGUGUCAUGUAGAAUAUUUGAUGUAAUUCACAUUUCACGCCUAGAGUUACCUUGAGAGUUGUGGAUUGUGUCUGAAAAAUGUUCUAACAUUUCUUCUUUUUUGCAUUAUUUUCUACUUUCCUAUUUGUAGGAUCCUUUCUGGGGUUCUAAUUUGAGAGAAUUUUUGUUUUCUGAUCAUUUCAGUUAUGUUAAUUUCUUCUUUGGUUAAA